rnacentral:rRNA from 1 species
GGUGGAUUAGUGGCGAACGGGUGAGUAACACGUGAGUAACCUGCCCUUAACUCUGGGAUAAGCCUGGGAAACUGGGUCUAAUACCGGAUAGGAGCGUCCACCGCAUGGUGGGUGUUGGAAAGAUUUAUCGGUUUUGGAUGGACUCGCGGCCUAUCAGCUUGUUGGUGAGGUAAUGGCUCACCAAGGCGACGACGGGUAGCCGGCCUGAGAGGGUGACCGGCCACACUGGGACUGAGACACGGCCCAG